AUCAUAAAAUCCAUAUAUCCGGUUAAUAGAAGCACACUCAUGAUUCCCUCUUAACAGAAAGAAGUUCUCUGGGUACUUAAUUUUGUAAGCAAGUAGAAGGCAUAUAGUCUCCAAACUCUGUUUGCCACGAUCCACAUAGUCCCCUAAAAACAAAUAAUUGGACUGGGGUGGGAAUCCACCAUAUUCAAAAAGCCUCAGAAGAUCACCAUACUGUCCAUGAAUAUCACCACAGAUCUUGAUAGGGGCUUCAAGCUCCAAAAGAUUGGGCUGCUGAAGAAAGAUUGCUCUUGCAGCAGUACAGAGAGAACGAAUCUCAGCCUCUGAAAGCUGAACCUGUCUAACAGUUCUUGCAUUCCUAAACUCCAAUAGCCUGUUAAUUAUGUCAUCAAGAACCGCAGGUUCUAUCCCCUGCCCAUUUUGAGCCAUCUCCCUUUCUCCUUCUCCUUUUUUCCUACUUGGGGGUCUCAAUAAUACCCUAAAUAAAACCUAAAAAGCCAAGAAAAUACUGAAAUGGAAAAACAAUAAAAUGG
rnacentral:misc_RNA from 1 species